rnacentral:rRNA from 1 species
UGCGCAGGCGGCCAGGUGUGUGAGGCGUGAAAGCCCGGAGCUCAACUCCGGAAUUGCACCUCAAACUACAUGGCUAGAGCAUUGGAGAGGGUAGCAGAAUUCACGGUGUAGCAGUGAAAUGCGUAGAUAUCGUGAGGAAUACCAGAGGCGAAGGCGGCUACCUGGACAAUUGCUGACGCUCAGGCACGAAAGCGUGGGGAGCAAAAGGGAUUAGAUACCCCUGUAGUCCACGCCCUAAACGGUGCACACUAGGUCUUGGCGGAUUCGACCCCCCCAGGGCCCAAGCUAACGCGUUAAGUGUGCCGCCUGAGGACUACGGCCGCAAGGCUAAA